rnacentral:lncRNA from 1 species
UAUCUAGAGGUUUUUGUCAAAGGAUCAAUGUAAGUUUACAGAGAGUCAAUAAUUGAUCAUUGUCCUUUUAAGUAUAAAUAAAACUAUAUUUCCAAUUACAUGCAGUAAAUGCUGCCGGAGCUUUUUUACAUGGGCUAGAGGAUGAAUAUUAUAAGGUGAUGGUCCGUUGAUGGGCUAAAAGGCAUUAGAACUGGCCACCAGUUACAAGUUUACUCACUACCACAACACGAGCAAGGUGGCCACCAGUCCAUGAAUGCAAAUUUGCAGCACUUUGAAGUCCAAAAGCAGUGAGUAUACAUGGACUCGAAGAAGGCAGUCUAGAAACAACUGUUAGAUUUUGUGUACAUUUAUUCUCCUUUGCAACUUUUGUAGAUAGGUUUUGAUUAGAAGUUAUGUCUUUC